rnacentral:rRNA from 1 species
UGGGUGAUCUGCCCUGCACUUCGGGAUAAGCCUGGGAAACUGGGUCUAAUACCGGAUAUACCUCAUUGAUCUCCUGGUUGGUGGGGGAAAGCUUUUGCGGUGUGGGAUGGGCCCGCAGCCUAUCAGCUUGUUGGUGAGGUUACGGCUCACCAAGGCGUCGACGGGUAGCCGGCCUGAGAGGGUGACCGGCCACACUGGGACUGAGACACGGCCCAGACCUCCUACGGGAGCAG